GCAUGAGUGAAUACUGUGUUCUUUAUUUUUCAAAGCCAUACACCAUGCAAAAGUAAAAUUUUCCCUUGAAAUGGCUUUUGAUGGUAUGCUGCUUUCUCAUGACACAUCAUUAUUAAAGUGGCUACAAUA
rnacentral:snoRNA from 1 species